GCAUAUCAAUAAGCGGAGGAAAAGAAACCAACAGGGAUUACCUCAGUAACGGCGAGUGAAGCGGUAAAAGCUCAAAUUUGAAAUCUGGCUCUUUUAGAGUCCGAGUUGUAAUUUGUAGAAGAUGCUUCGGGUGUGGUUCCGGUCUAAGUUCCUUGGAACAGGACGUCAUAGAGGGUGAGAAUCCCGUAUGUGACUGGAUACCUAUGCUCAUGUGAAGCUCUUUCGACGAGUCGAGUUGUUUGGGAAUGCAGCUCAAAAUGGGUGGUAUAUUUCAUCUAAAGCUAAAUAUUGGCCAGAGACCGAUAGCGCACAAGUAGAGUGAUCGAAAGAUGAAAAGCACUUUGGAAAGAGAGUUAAACAGUACGUGAAAUUGUUGAAAGGGAAGCGCUUGCAAUCAGACUUGCACUUGGUGUUCAUCGGGGUUUCUACCCCGUGUACUUCAUCAAGUUCAGGCCAGCAUCAGUUUGGGUGGUUAGAUAAAGGCUUAGAGAAUGUGGCCCUCUUCGGGGGGUGUUAUAGCUCUAGGUGCAAUGUAGCCUACCUGGACUGAGGACCGCGCUUCGGCUAGGAUGCUGGCGUAAUGGUUGUAAGCGACCCGUCUUGAAACACGGACCAAGGAGUGUACCUAAUAUGCGAGUGUUUGGGUGUUAAACCCAUACGCGUAAUGAAAGUGAACGGAGGUGAGAGCCCUUAAGGGUGCAUCAUCGACCGAUCCUGAUGUCUUCGGAUGGAUUUGAGUAAGAGCAUAUUGGGUGCGACCCGAAAGAUGGUGAUCUAUACGUGAAUAGGGUGAAGCCAGAGGAAACUCUGGUGGAGGCUCGCAGCGGUUCUGACGUGCAAAUCGAUCGUCAAAUUUGCGUAUAGGGGCGAAAGACUAAUCGAACCAUCUAGUAGCUGGUCCUGCGA
rnacentral:rRNA from 1 species